rnacentral:rRNA from 1 species
UGAGAUAAGUGCUGAAAGCAUCUAAGCACGAAACUUGCCCCGAGAUGAGUUCUCCCUGACUCCUUGAGAGUCCUGAAGGAACGUUGAAGACGACGACGUUGAUAGGCCGGGUGUGUAAGCGCAGCGAUGCGUUGAGCUAACCGGUACUAAUGAACCGUGAGGCUUAACCUUACAACGCCGAAG